GCGGAAGUAGCUCAGUUGAUAGAGCAUUAGCCUUCCAAGCUGAGGGGCGCGGGUUUGAGCCCCGUCUUCCGCU
rnacentral:tRNA from 1 species